rnacentral:rRNA from 1 species
CCCUAUGGGGUGCACCAGGCGAGAAAACUUUGCAAUGUGCGAAAGCACGACAAGGUUAAUCCGAGUGGUUUCUGCUAAAGGAACCUUUUGUCAGUCCUAGAAACACUGAUGAAUAAGGGGUGGGCAAGUUCUGGUGUCAGCCGCCGCGGUAAAACCAGCACCUCAAGUGGUCAGGAUGAUUAUUGGGCCUAAAGCAUCCGUAGCCGGCUUUGUAAGUUUUCGGUUAAAUCCAUGCGCUCAACGUAUGGGCUGCCGGGAAUACUGCAAAGCUAGGGAGUGGGAGAGGUAGACGGUACUCGGUAGGAAGGGGUAAAAUCCUUUGAUCUAUUGAUGACCACCUGUGGCGAAGGCGGUCUACCAGAACACGUCCGACGGUGAGGGAUGAAAGCUGGGGGAGCAAACCGGAUUAGAUACCCGGGUAGUCCCAGCUGUAAACUAUGCAAACUCAGUGAUGCAUUGGCUUGAUGCCAAUGCAGUGCUGCAGGGAAGCCGUUAAGUUUGCCGCCUGGGAAGUACGUACGCAAGUAUGAAACUUAAAGGAAUUGGCGGGGGAGCACCACAAGGGGUGAAGCCUGCGGUUCAAUUGGAGUCAACGCCAGAAAUCUUACCCGGAGAGACAGCAGAAUGAAGGUCAAGCUGAAGACUUUACCAGACAAGCUGAGAAGAAGUGCAUGGCC